rnacentral:rRNA from 1 species
UACGUAGGGGGCUAGCGUUGUCCGGAAUCAUUGGGCGUAAAGAGCGCGUAGGCGGCCAGAUAAGUCCGGUGUGAAAGUCACAGGCUCAACCUGUGAAUGCCGCUGGAAACUGUCUGGCUAGAGUCCGGAAGGGGCGAGUGGAAUUCCUGGUGUAGCGGUGAAAUGCGUAGAGAUCGGGAGGAAGGCCGGUGGCGAAGGCGGCGCUCUGGAACAUUUCUGACGCUGAGGCUCGAAAGCGUGGGGAGCAAACAGG